AGAGGCUCCGGUGUCCUCGGUCCACGCGCCGCCGUGUGGACCGGAGCACGGGGCGACGCAGUGGCAGCGGCGGGCGGAGGAGGCCUGCGGGGGGAGCGGCGCGGCGGAGCAGGACAGGUGGACAUGGCUACUGACUCAUUCCAGAUCUCCCAAGGCAUGACAAUUUAGCUGACCUCAUCAGAGCAGAUUUUUUUGUCAUCACAUGGCGUGACUCCACAGUAGGACCUUGUAAGGUCCUGUGCAACUUGUUCAAGUCCUUUUGUGUGAUGAAAAUCAUUGCAGGAAUUGCUAACUUCUUUGUUGUGAGAAUCGGUGGGGUGUUGAUGGGCAUCUUCCUGUGCUUCACAGUGGCAUUUACGAGCCACUUCACACACAGUAUCCGAGUGAUUGAGCCACUCUUUGUUUUCCUGUACAGUUAUUUGUCCUACAUAACAGCCGAUAUGUUUCACCUCUCAGGCAUCAUGGCAUAAGUAUUUCAUUGCUGGCAGCUCUUGCUAAGGACAAUUUUGUUUUUCACCUCAUAUCAGCACUUCUGAGAGUCGGUGGUCCCAGCAGCCUUCGUGCCCCUCCCUGGCAUUGCUGCAGGCCCAGCUAAGCCAUUUACACUGUUCCCACUAUGAUGAGACCUGCACCCUCCACCAGAACGGCACCAUCAACCUCUACUGGGAGUCCCAGUGCCCACUCGAUGACUUUGAGCUGGUCCUGUGGUCCUUGGGCUCUCAGGAGAAGAGCUACCUGCUGUGCCCCUACAGCUACAACCACCCGGCCUUCCGAGACAUGAAGAAAGUUGAUUUCGGUGUGACAGGACAAUUGGGUCGAGAAAUACAUUCAUAGGCACCCCCUACUGGAUGGCUCCUGAGGUCAUUGCCUGUGACAAGAACCCAGAUGCCACCUAUGCCUACAGAGUAAGAGGCACCUGCCGGUGGACCUUUGCAGGGACACUGACAUCCGAGGUACACGGGCUUUGUUUACAAAUUGCACACUCCUUAUCCAUACCUACUUUCUCAGUGAGGAAGACGUGGGCACCGCGUCGUGGGUGCAGAUUUUCCAGGACAGUGUUCAGAUGCUGGUUUUUUUGGUCCGUUUGCAUCAGCUUUGUUCUCAUCUCUCGAGAAUAGGCUGGUUUCAGGGCAGUCUGGGCCACUUUGUUGAGCGGAGAACAUUUCAUCAUGAGUAAAAUGCUUCUGCCUCUGUUUGCUGUCCUUUUUAACUUCAAGAGUAUAUUAGAAUCAAAUAUUUGUUCUUUCACAAAUAUUGUCAGAACGUGUAGCAGUAGCUCCACCUAUGUGGAAUUUUUGAGUGUUCUUGUUAAAGAGCUUUUAGAGCUUUGGUUGUGUACAUGAAUAUAUUUAAAUUAUUAGAGUGACUUCUAGGGACUUGAAUCAGUAAUGCACUUUUUUGAUCCAGGUGUAAAACCCAUAUUUGAUAAUCAGAC